AUGUCCCAGUGCAGAUCUCCCAGUACAUCUCCUGGUGCAGUUCAUCCAGUCACAUUAAUGGAUGAACUGCACUGGGAGAUGUACUGGGAGAUCUGCACUGGGAGAU